rnacentral:rRNA from 1 species
UACGGAGGGUGCGAGCGUUAAUCGGAAUUACUGGGCGUAAAGCGCACGUAGGCGGUUCGUUAAGUCGGAUGUGAAAUCCCUGGGCUCAACCUGGGAACUGCGUUGGAAACUGUCGGGCUAGAGUGUAGAAGAGGGGGGUAGAAUUCCACGUGUAGCAGUGAAAUGCGUAGAGAUGUGGAGGAAUACCGAUGGCGAAGGCAGCCCCCUGGGCUAACACUGACGCUCAUGCACGAAAGCGUGGGGAGCAAACAGGAUUAGAAACCCCAGUAGU